rnacentral:rRNA from 1 species
AUUGAACGCUGGCGGCAUGCUUUACACAUGCAAGUCGAACGGUAACAGGUCUUCGGAUGCUGACGAGUGGCGAACGGGUGAGUAAUGCAUCGGAACGUGCCCAGUCGUGGGGGAUAACGCAGCGAAAGCUGUGCUAAUACCGCAUACGAUCUAAGGAUGAAAGCGGGGGAUCGCAAGACCUCGCGCGAUUGGAGCGGCCGAUAUCAGAUUAGGUAGUUGGUGGGGUAAAGGCUCACCAAGCCAACGAUCUGUAGCUGGUCUGAGAGGACGACCAGCCACACUGGAACUGAGACACGGUCCAGACUCCUACGGGAGGCAGCAGUGGGGAAUUUUGGACAAUGGACGCAAGUCUGAUCCAGCCAUUCCGCGUGCAGGACGAAGGCCUUCGGGUUGUAAACUGCUUUUGUACAGAACGAAAAGGUCUCUAUUAAUACUAGGGGCUCAUGACGGUACUGUAAGAAUAAGCACCGGCUAACUACGUG